rnacentral:tRNA from 1 species
GGCCCUGUAGACGAAAAGAGCAAAGUCAACUGCCUUUCCAGCAGUUAUGUGCGGGUUCGAGUCCCGUCAGGGUUA